UCCUACGGGAGGCAGCAGUAGGGAAUCUUGCGCAAUGGGCGAAAGCCUGACGCAGCAAUGCCGCGUGCGGGACGAAGGCCCUAGGGUCGUAAACCGCUUUCAGUAGGGACGAAAAUGACGGUACCUGCAGAAGAAGCUCCGGCCAACUACGUGCCAGCAGCCGCGGUGAUACGUAGGGAGCAAGCGUUGUCCGGAAUUACUGGGCGUAAAGGGCUCGUAGGUGGUUGAGUAAGUCAGAUGUGAAAUCUCAGGGCCCAACCCUGAGCCUGCAUUUGAUACUGCUCUGACUAGAGUCCGGUAGGGGAGUGCGGAACUCCUGGUGUAGCGGUGAAAUGCGCAGAUAUCAGGAAGAACACCGACAGCGAAGGCAGCACUCUGGGCCGGUACUGACACUGAGGAGCGAAAGCAUGGGUAGCAAACAGGAUUAGAUACCCUGGUAGUCCAUGCCGUAAACGUUGGGCACUAGGUGUGGGGAGAACUUCCGCGCCGUAGCUAACGCAUUAAGUGCCCCGCCUGSGGAGUACGGCCGCAAGGCUAAAACUCAAAGGAAUUGACGG
rnacentral:rRNA from 1 species